UGGUAGAGGAGCAUUGUUAGCGCAGCGAAGCUGUACCGAUAAGGAGCAGUGGAGUGCUAAGAAGAGAGAAUGCCGGAAUGAGUAGCGAGAGGAAGGUGAGAAUCCUUCCGGCCGAAUAUCCAAGGUUUCCAGAGUAAAGCUGAUCUGCUCUGGGUAAGUCGGGGCCUAAGGCGAGGUCGAAAGACGUAGUCGAUGGAUAACAGGUAAAGAUUCCUGUACUGUAUCAUAACAGAACUGUGGGGACGCAGACAGAGAGCACAAGCCGGGAAUGGAAAGACCGGUGCAAGCGAGGUAGGAGUACAUCAGGCAAAUCCGGUGUGCAAUCCGAAGACGUGAUGCGGAUCGAAAAGAAGUAGAGAAGUGUGUGAGCUGGCUGCCAAGAAAAGCCGCUAUUGUUUACAGGAUACCCGUACCGUAAACCGACACAGGUGGAUGAGGAGAGAAUCCUAAGGCCGACGGGAGAAGCAUUGUUAAGGAACUCGGCAAAAUGACUCCGUAACUUCGGGAGAAGGAGUGCCAGUAAGAUGGCCGCAGAGAAUUGGCCCAAGCAACUGUUUAGCAAAAACACAGGUCUAUGCAAAACCGAAAGGUGAGGUAUAUGGGCUGACGCCUGCCCGGUGCUGGAAGGUUAAGGGGAGUGGUCAGGAAACGAAGCCACGAACUUAAGCCCCAGUAAACGGCGGCCGUAACUAUAACGGUCCUAAGGUAGCGAAAUUCCUUGUCGGGUAAGUUCCGACCCGCACGAAAGGCGUAAUGAUUUGAGCGCUGUCUCGACAAUGCAUCCGGUGAAAUUGAAGUACCAGUGAAGAUGCUGGUUACCUGCGCCAGGACGGAAAGACCCCAUGGAGCUUUACUCCAGCUUGAUACUGGGAUUCGGUAUUGCAUGUACAGGAUAGGUGGGAGGCUAGGAAAUGGUAACGCCAGUUGCCAUGGAGCCAAUGUUGGGAUACCACCCUUGCAGUACUGGGUUUCUAACCAGCAGCCGUGAUCCGGCUGGGGGACAAUGUCAGGUGGGGAGUUUGACUGGGGCGGUCGCCUCCGAAAGGGUAUCGGAGGCGCUCAAAGGU
rnacentral:rRNA from 1 species